rnacentral:rRNA from 1 species
UACGUAGGCAGCAAGCGUUGUUCGGAAUUACUGGGCGUAAAGCGUGCGCAGGCGGUUAUGCAAGACAGAUGUGAAAUCCCCGGGCUCAACCUGGGAACUGCAUUUGUGACUGCAUGGCUAGAGUACGGUAGAGGGGGAUGGAAUUCCGCGUGUAGCAGUGAAAUGCGUAGAUAUGCGGAGGAACACCGAUGGCGAAGGCAAUCCCCUGGACCUGUACUGACGCUCAUGCACGAAAGCGUGGGGAGCAAACAGG